UUAUCUGGUGGAGAGACUUCCGAUCGCUUCAACAUCUCCAAUGGCAUGAAACAAGGCUGUGUCCUUGCUCCAGUACUAUUCAACCUAUUUUUCACCCAGGUAUUACGACAUGCUGUGAUGGAUCUAGACCUGGGCAUCUACAUCAAAUACCGACUGGAUGGCUCACUAUUUGACCUUCGCUGCCUGACUGCAAAAACAAAGACAACAGAGAGACUCAUCCUGGAAGCUCUCUUUGCAGAUGACUGUGCUCUCAUGGCCCACCAAGAAAAUCAUCUCCAAACCAUUGUGGACAGGUUCUCCACCGCAACAAAAUUGUUUGGCCUGACUAUCAGCCUCAGCAAAACAGAGGUGCUGCUCCAACCUGCACCAGGGAGGCCAACUAACCAACCGUGCAUAACUAUCGAUGGCACGCAGCUUUAUAACGUCAACACUUUCAAGUAUCUGGGCAGCACCAUCGCCAACGACGGGUCCCUAGACCACGAGAUUAAUACCAGGAUCCAAAAGGCCAGCCAGGCACUUGGGCAGCUGUGCUGCAAAGUCCUCCAACACAGAGGUGUAAGCACUGCCACGAAGCUCAAAGUGUAUAAUGCAGUGGUCCUCAGCUCGCUCCUGUACAGUUGUGAGACAUGGACACUGUACUGGAAGCACAUGAAACAGCUGGAGCAAUUCCACCAAUGCUCCCUCCGGUCAAUCAUGAGGAUCCGAUGGCAGGACCGUAUCACCAACCAGGAAGUCCUCGACAGAGCCAACACCACCAGCAUCGAAGUAAUGAUCCUCAAAACCCAGCUACGAUGAUCUGGACACGUCAUCCGCAUGGAUCCACCGCGAAUACCAAGACAGGUAUUCUACGGUGAACUGUCAGCUGGACUCAGGAAACAAGGCCGACCAAAGAAAAGAUUCAAGGAUCAGCUAAAGUCCAACUUGAAGUGGGCUGGCAUUACAUCAAAGCAACUAGAACUCGCUGCCUCUGACAGAAGCAGCUGGCAAACCCACAUUAACCAUGCCGCCACCACCUUUGAAGAUGAGCGACGUCGACGUCUCACC
rnacentral:lncRNA from 1 species